UACUUGAGGAAUAAGCAUCGGCUAACUCUGUGCCAGCAGCCGCGGUAAUACAGAGGAUGCAAGCGUUAUCUGGAAUCACUGGGCAUAAAGCGUCUGUAGGUCGCUUGCCAAGUCUGCUGUUAAAGAUCAGGGCCUAACCCUGGGAAAGCAGUGGAAACUAGCAGGCUUGAGUGUGGUAGAGGUAGAGGGAAUUCCUGGUGUAGCGGUGAAAUGCGUAGAUAUUAGGAAGAACACCAAUGGCGAAAGCACUCUACUGGGCCAUAACUGACACUGAGAGACGACAGCUAGGGGAGCAAAUGGGAUUAGAUACCCCAGUAGU
rnacentral:rRNA from 1 species